GUCCAGCUUUUGGAUCUUCUACUAGUAUAAUCAACAAAAGGAUAAAUCAAUCCAUGAUUUCUAGCCAAUUUCUGUGGUGUCAAUACCCCCACCAUGCAGAUUUCAGACUACCAGAGUGACUCACCGGCUGCGGGGUGGUGAGGAGUGAGGCGAGAGCACAGCCUUGUCUAAUCUGCUCUGUCCACAGUACAGGUAUGUGAACUGGGAGGUGUCUCCACAAGAAGACAGCCUGUGGUGGUACCAAGCUGGUGGCUCUGGAUGGUACAUGGCCUAAAGUCAAGACCUGUCCACUCCUGGGCCAUAUAAAGUGAGCAACAUAACUGAUUUCGUCAAUCAGAUUGGAACCAAAAUUUGAACCAGAAGGGACUCAGACAUGGUACUUGAAAAAAGAGCACAAAGCAAGAAAACAAGAUUUCUGAUGAUGAAGAAAGACUACUUACAGGCAGAUCAUUUCCGGAAGAGUUGCUUCCAAAGGGACCUGUAUCUUACUAGCCUUGGUGGACUCUCCUUCCCCUCGACCCCUCCAACCUCAGUGCUCCCUAGUUCACCUCCCCUGAUCCCCCCCCCCACCUCCAGGGCUGUUCCCCACCUGAACAACUCCAAGGAAAGUGCUUUAGACCCUGCUUUUCCAGAACUGUGCUUCCGAGCCUCUCCCUGCUUCUGUCCUCGACAUCUACACAAGGUUUCACUGCGGGGUACACCGGUCAGCACAGUGAAGAUACAUAAUAGUACCCACUUAGACGUGGGAUUAAUUGCAGCCAGACACACUGAAGAACAAAAAUUCCUUAGCCUCCUGCUGACUUACUGUGUGAAGGAGAAGUCCUGCUGCUGUGUUAGCAAUCUUCCCCGAACAAUAAAACAAUCUAAUGCUUUCUGUUUGGGGAGCAAAUCACCACUAAUGGGAUCUUGCCAACGACACAGACACCCUUGCUGGCCCUCACCUUUCCGGACUUUCCUUACAUGACCCCUUUCUGACUGUGAUAAUGUUCCAGCAUGUACAGAUAUAGACACUUCUCUUCAGCAAACUAAUCACAAUUCUAGGGGUAAGCCCCAACAUCAUCUUCUGACUCUCUGGAGUCCAACAACGUUGUCUAGCUAUAAAACCAUCUAUGACCA